CCUCUCUUAGCUCUAUGUAGUUGCACUUGGCUUCACCUGUGUAACUUUUGUAAUGGCGAGAGAAAGAAAAGAUCUCAGGACCUCAGAUGCGCCUACUGUGGCCUCUCUUUCCUUGAGGGGAGCAAUAGGC
rnacentral:snoRNA from 1 species